rnacentral:rRNA from 1 species
GACGAACGCUGGCGGCGUGCUUAACACAUGCAAGUCGAACGGAAAGGCCCUGCUUUUGUGGGGUGCUCGAGUGGCGAACGGGUGAGUAACACGUGAGUAACCUGCCCUUGACUUUGGGAUAACUUCAGGAAACUGGGGCUAAUACCGGAUAGGAGCUCCUGCUGCAUGGUGGGGGUUGGAAAGUUUCGGCGGUUGGGGAUGGACUCGCGGCUUAUCAGCUUGUUGGUGGGGUAGUGGCUUACCAAGGCUUUGACGGGUAGGCGGCCUGAGAGGGUGACCGGCCACAUUGGGCCUGCGAUACGGCCCAGACUCCUACGGGAGGCAGCAGUGGGGAAUAUUGCACAAUGGGCCGACGCCUGAUGCAGCAACGCCGCGUGCGGGAUGACGGCCUUCGGGUUGUAAACCGCUUUCGCCUGUGACGAAGCGUGAGUGACGGUAAUGGGUAAAGAAGCACCGGCUAACUACGUG